GAAAAGAACUUUGAAAAGAGAGUUAAACAGUACGUGAAAUUGUUGAUAGGGAAACGAUUGAAGUCAGUCAUGCCGGCGAGAAAUCAGCCUACAGGCUACUGUGGGUGCACUUUUUUGCAAGGCAGGUUAACAUCGAUUUUUGUUGCGUCAUAAUGAUUGUAGGAAUGUGGCUCUUUCGGGAGUGUCAUAGCCUACUUUAGAUGGCGUGAUAAAGAUCGAGGAUUGCAGCGAAUGCCUUCAGGCUAUGGAUCUGUUCUCUGUCGAUCGUUAAUUGCACUUCAGCUUGCUGAGGGACAGUUG
rnacentral:misc_RNA from 1 species